GUCUCGCGAUCGACUGCAACGCGAGCAGCGAAGACGAGUCAGCGAUAAGAGUCCGCCGAGCCGUACUACGAUGCAUAGCGUCCGAAUGCAUCGUAGACGUUGGCUCAGAGGUUAGAGCACAGGCUUCUGGCUCUCGGGUCCGCGAGUUCGAGUCCCGUCGUCUACUUUUUCGCUUUCGACUCUGUCUCCUCCAUCCAUUUCACAAACAUUUACACAUACACAUACAUUUGGUCGGUGGCUCUCGGAGUUUAUUCUCGUUGGGGUUUCUCUAUAGGCAUUGUUAAUGCAAGUGCAAAAACGGGCGAGACAGAGAGAGAGAGAGAAUACGAAAGGCGAAAGUCGAGAUGAGUAGCAGGAGGAAGGAGGGUUAUGAGGAAGUAACAAAGGAAGAGAGUGAUUCAGAAAAGAAAAUGGACGUGUAAUGUGAACGAAGAGAAGCGCAGAGAGAGAAGAAGCGGAUAAGAAUUAAGCGUUAGCGAAACCGAAGGGUUUGGGACUGGGAAAUGAGACGCCCUCUGGGCCGAGCUUCCAUGCCAACAGUCCUAAUUGUUAAGUUGUUGCAACUGCAGAAUCUUGAACUAUCGUGCAACUUGGAAGAAAAUCUCAACAUAGUACAAUAGAAGCCGUAAAUCCAUCAUAAAAUCAAAAGAAAGUCGGCGUUCAGAAUUUUCCCACGACAUAUAGAAAUCAGGCACAAUCGUCACUGUAUGCAUAGAUAGGCGCAGUAAACAUGCGGUGGCAGGGAUAACAGAGAUAGGAAGAAGAAAUGCCGCAUAGAAAAGGAGGAGCAGUAAUACUCCGAAAAGCGAGAGCAGAGAGGUUCGUGGCGCGGAAAAGUGGAAAGAAAAUUCGAGAGGACUAUACCUGCGUCUAACGCCCAUAGACCAGAGGUGCGUGCAUAGUUCCCUGUCCCCCUACUUCUGCUUCUCGCCACGGCUGCCCCCACGUAUACGAAGGUAAAAAUCUCUCCGCUCUCGCCAUCGAGCCAACGAACACAAGCCCAGUAGCAUAGCGCGCAUUGCGCAGGCGUGUAGAGGAACAUCUGCUCAUUUAUAUUUUUGGGUGGUGCACGUUCGAGGCUGCGGGCGCGUGCAGCAGACCUCUUCUGCGCUUCGAUUUUCGACAUUUCCGAGCGAGCUCUCCACGGCUUCAGACCUGCUUGAAGAUACCAUUCUACGAAAACCAGGCUCAACAUAUGAACCAACAUGAAUUAUUACCCUCGGAAGAAGUACUUUUUCGAAAACUUUUACUACAACAAGCUGAAGCGAGAGAAGAGGAAACAUCUGAGAAGAAGAAACGACAUCCUGAAUUCGACGGGCGAAGAUAUCGGAGAGUUCGCUCCACCCGAGAGAUACAGACACGUUAAAAGAAUUAGCUAUACAGACUGGUUGCUAAGACGAACGGAGAGACAAUGCAACAGAAUAUGCAACGAUUCCUUUAACGAAGGCAAUUUCAGUGAAAGUGGUAGUGACAUUUUUAAUUUGAAUAAAAUCAUGCGCUACGAUUGUGGCGAAUACGCUAUAAAUGGCAUUCGUAUGUCUUACGAGUAUAUUAUGGACACUCUUUCCAUCUACAUUGGAUACAUUUUAAUUUAUACCAUAACUUUGUCAGAGCAUGAAGAUGCCAACAUUCCGUGGCAAGAGAUUCAAUGGGAUUGAUCGGAUAUGAGGCCCGUUUUUUACUGCGUUUAAUCGAUUAAAUUGCACAUACUCUCAAAUUUCUCUCUCAAUCGAGUCAGAAUAGUCAGAUUUUUAAGGAAUUACUGAAACAAUUGUUGCGUGAAAGCGAAAUAGACUGUUGCAGCAUAAACUGUGUUCAAAAUAUUUUAUUACGGCCGCUGACGCUGCAUAGGUCGGUUAGUCAGUUCAGUUGGCGUGCAUCAGCUGCUCGCGCAUGCGCACUGAUUCAUUUUAUGCCGAGCCCGUAUGCCUGUGUGUAUAUACAUAUACCUAGCCAGAUUUCUAGAUGAAUAGCCCCGAUGGAAUAAAAUUAAGCCCUAAAAUUGAGCGUUUUCAUAGCUAGCUAGAAACUAGACCAAAUUUAUGCGAGAUCAUUGAUGUGCAAAAUUUUUUCUUGUAUUUUUAUAUAAACAAAUCUUUUUUACUAAUGAACGACUGAUAAACGUGCAAUUUUACUUUUAUAUUUUUAGUCUCUUGAUGAUUUAAUCUCAAAUAAAAAAAAUAAAAAAAAAAAAAC